UUGUUUUGGAAAUAAUUAAGUCACGCGACUCUACCCCUUCCAACCUCUUCAACACUCCAGACCCCUCCUUCAACCUCACACUCCAAACCCACCUCUCAUUCCCUAGAGUAAGACCCUCCCCUCCAUUUCUCAUUAUUCAUUAACGCCGAUAAAGCAAAAAAUACACCCUUCACAAGUUCACAUAAACACACCCGAAGAGAAAAAGAAAUAAAGAGAGAGAGAGAGUCGGGUAGGGUUUUGUUCUUUGUUACUCGUUUCCUUCCAAAUUAGGGUUUCCCUUUUUGAUUCACCAAACUUCUCCCGAUUCGAAUUCGCCGAGUAGGGUUUUGUUGUUCCGCGUCUCGCUUUCGUGAUGCCACACAGUUCAAAGCACAAAUCGAGCAAGCACAGUUCACGUGACGCGAGGGAGCACUCCGACUCCGAGCGAGAUUCCGGCGCCAAGGAUCGGAGGAGCAAGGAGGAGAGCGGUGGCGGCGGCGGCGCGAAGAAGGAUUCGAGUUCCGCGGAGAAGCGGAGGCUGGAUUCGAAGGACGCACACUGGAACGGGGAGUAUUCCGACGAGUACGCGUCAUCGUCGAAGCGACACAAGGAUGGCGGAGGCGGGGGAGACCAGUGGAAUGGCCGCGAGGAGGGAUUGAAGAAGUCAAAGACGGCGGGGGAUUCGAAGAGCAGGAGGAGGGACGAAAGGGUGGGAGUGUACGGUGAGGGCGAGGAGGUGAAGAGGAGUAGCGGGAAAGGGGAUGCUUGAACAAAUGGAAUGCAGAGCUAAUAAUGCUGAGAGAGAAGCAGAGCUGCUAAAAGAACAACUGAAACAUCUUAAGGAUCAACUUGAUAAGUGUUUGCAUCAGAAGAUUGAAGUUGAAAAAAAGCUAUCUACUUUAAUGUUUCAAGAAGUUGCUUCUACAGAGAGUAAUGUUUUAGUUAAGCAUUUGCAACAGGAGCUUCGGAACUAUGUUGCUGAUGGGAACCUUAUGGCCCUUGAUUCUUGCUAUAAUCACUUAAGUCACAAUAAUGCGCAGUUUGAAGGAGAAUUUUGACCAGGCUCUAUAGAGAGACGAUGUCAUGGCAAUUGUUGUUACAAGUAUUGCAAUUUGCUUUUUAAUUGGACAGAGUCUAAGCUUUGAGAUUUUUCAAAUAACUGGGAAGGGACGGCACUUAAGUUUUCUCAAUUUAUUCUAUCCUUUUGUUAAUUUCUUAACUCACGUAAUUAAGUUUUUAUGGCAACCGUGAUACGGUGACACCUUUUUUGAGGCAAGUUUCCUAAUCCAGCAGAAAACCUUUAUUUUAUCAUUGUUGAUUUCAGUGUCAUUUUCUUAUUGUUGAUUUCAGUGCCAUGGGUUUUCAAUGAGCUAUUUGGAAAUCAAUUUUGGAUUGUGAUUAUAGAGAAUUGGAUGCAUAAUUCGUGGUAUUAUUGCAUUCAUUCUUUGGGGGUAUCUAUAACUAUUAUGAUCUGGCAGGCUUAGAUGCUGUCCGAUUUAUCAAGACCUUCUCAAUGUGUGUGCUUGCUUGUAAAUGAUCUUAGUUUUUCACUUUUCUCUCUUUAGGUGGGGGCUGCUGUCCAGUGAUACAAGGCAUUGCCAUAAUUAACUUGAAAUCUAUGUCUUGAUAUUUUAUUUUUGCUCAAGUUUAGAAUGCCCCUGUUCUGGAUAAUUAACUUGCUGAGAUUUAAGCACUUACUUGCUUGUUGGUUCCUCUCACCUACUGGGUGUUAUUUCAUUUUUACUUGGGUGUUAUUCAUUGGGCAGUCUAUCUCCUUGCCUUACGCUAGUCUUUUAGGUGAAUAUUACUUCAAUUCUUUGAAUAUUACUUCAAGUCUUUUAGGUAAAAUACUCAGAUUCAGGUUAUUUUUUCUCCUUUGAAGCUUGUUGUCAAUUUUUGCUUGUCAAUAUUAACUUGUGUUAAAAUAAGUCAGGCUCUAUUUUUUUAAAAAAAAAAUUUAAGCAGGACUUAUCUCUCAUUCCCUAGGACUUCUAACUAAUUUUUGUUAAACAUAUAGUUAAUUUUGACUAGAUUCCUCUCUUUAAUCAUUGUACUGUAACCUAUAUAAACAUCUUAUUUGGCAUACACUUAUUUUGUUUCAAUAUAUCCUUUAUGUGGUAUAUAAACAAGUAUGGCGUAUGAGUUAGUUAAAUAUUAUGAUAAUCUAUAGCAACCUUGUAGUACUUGUAUUUUUUUUGUUAAUCUAUCAUGUUGAAAUGCAUUAACAUGAAAUUAUUAAUCAUGUUUCUUGUGUUUCAGAAUAUGGCCUGUGACACAUUUCUGACAGGCCUUCCCAUCACUAUUGCAGAUCUUGAACCCCAUCAGAUACAUUCCUUCUAUGAAUCUCUGAGUAAUUAUUGUUCCUUUGAGGGUGUCCUAUACUGUAAGCCUCAUUUCCAUCAACUGUUUAAGAUGACCGGCAGCUGGGACAAAAGUUUUGAAGGUGUUCCAAGAAGUGUUAGAGUGGAAAGACCUGCUGAUUAGGUUUUUACAAUUUGCCAAUUGCAAUUCCUUGAUGUCAGCACUCUACAUGCUGCUCUGCCAGAUUCCACUGCUGUUAGAAUCAUCUCAAAUUCUCGUUUGUAUACACGUAAAUCACUUAUCUAUUAGUAGGAUUUUAAUGUAUUUCAAAUAUUUGUAUAAGUAGAAAUUUCUUUCUGUCAUCUGGUUUUGGUUCAAUUAUGUAGGUGGUUUAACAUUCAUAGCUGCAUGACCACCAAGUUCUCAAAUACUGUAAAUAGCUGCAAAAAAAUAUAUCCAACAACAAAAAUAACAAAAAUAA